rnacentral:sRNA from 1 species
GAGAAAAGUAGAUAGAGAAGACAAGUUGGAUAUUCCAAUGUUCUUUGGUUUUGUAGGUUUGUUUAAUCUGCUGCUCUUAUGGCCAGGUUUCUUUUUACUUCAUUAUACUGGAUUUGAGGACUUCGAGUUUCCCAAUAAAGUAGUAUUAAUGUGCAUUAUCAUUAAUGGCCUUAUUGGAACAGUACUCUCAGAGUUCCUGUGGUUGUGGGGCUGCUUUCUUACCUCAUCAUUGAUAGGCACACUUGCACUAAGCCUUACAAUACCUCUGUCCAUAAUAGCUGACAUGUGUAUGCAAAAGGAGCUAUCCCUGUAUUUUUUUCAUUUUUUAUUGUAACUCUCCUAUGCCAUUAUAAUAAUUGGGAUCCUGUGAUGGUGGGAAUCAGAAGAAUAUUUGCUUUUAUAUGCAGAAAACAUCGAAUUCAGAGAGUUCCAGAAGACAGCGAACAGUGUGAGAGUCUCAUCUCUAUGCACAGUGUUUCUCAGGAGGAUGGAGCUAGUUAGCUGUUUGUUGUCUGUAGCCCAG